CCAACGGCCCUCUUUAGGGCCACAGUUGGAACGAUUGGAAUACGU
rfam:Angiostrongylus costaricensis strain Costa Rica genome assembly, scaffold: ACOC_scaffold0001404